ensembl:miRNA
AAGGUUUUCCCACACUCAUUACACUGAUGGCUUUUGGAAUGACUGUGGAUUCUCUGAUGGUGGGUGAGGAGCAAGGCCUGA